GACGAACGCUGGCGGCGUGCUUAACACAUGCAAGUCGAGCGGUAAGGCCCUUCGGGUACGACGAGCGGCGAACGGGUGGAGUAACACGUGGGUGGACCUGCCCUUAGCUCUGGGAUAAGCCUGGGAAACUGGGUCUAAUACCGGAUAUGACCUCAUGACGCAUGUUGUGGGGUGGAAAGCCUUGUGCGGCUAGGGGAUGGGGCCCGCGGCCGUACUCA
rnacentral:rRNA from 1 species